GAAGUCUUGUAUGGUUAAGAACGUUAAAUUCCCUGCCUUGAGUUUCAAGCAAGAGCCAGUGCAGAUUUGAAAAUGAAUGACCACUUAUAUGCAGUCAUUUCCAGGCUCUGGUAAGGAGACUGAGGCUCAGCCAGAUUUUUGCUCAGAGUUGUAUUGGUAAUUACCAGGCAGAGCUGGGUUUGGACGCAAAUGUUUUCAGUUCAUUUUAUCUUUGAAGACAAGGUUCAAGAACAGGAAAGCAUUAACUAAGCCUUUCAGAGGACCUCCAGAGAAAGGAAAGAUGUGAUGCAUGGAGAGCUGGACUUAAGGUAACAUGACUGAAGGAAACAUGCCUAGAGCAUAGGAGUUGCCAAGGCUUGAAUAAACAAGAAAGAAUGGAGGACAGACGGCUUCAAAGUCAAGUCUGACAAGGAAAAACCUAGGCUGCUCAAUAGGCACUGGUUCCUUUUCCAGCUAAGACUGCCCGGGAUCACUUCCACAUACCUCCUCUAUGUGUUGGCUCUCCUCUCCUAUGUCUAGAAUAAUCCAGAAAAAUGUGACCAUCAUACUCUACUCAGGAAUCCACCUCUGUGGGUCAUUUUGGACUGGUCAUAUAAGAAGGCUCAGAUUUUCUGGCCCAUAGCUACAUGUGGAUUCAUAUUUGGAAGUGGCAGAAGUAUUCUUGGAUGCCUGACUGAAGAUUGCAAAAGGUAUUUAAACAGUG